rnacentral:rRNA from 1 species
ACCCGCUGAACUUAAGCAUAUCAAUAAGCGGAGGAAAAGAAACCAACAGGGAUUGCCCUAGUAACGGCGAGUGAAGCGGCAACAGCUCAAAUUUGAAAUCUGGCUUCGGCCCGAGUUGUAAUUUGUAGAGGAUGCUUUUGGUGCGGUGCCUUCUGAGUUCCCUGGAACGGGACGCCACAGAGGGUGAGAGCCCCGUAUAGUUGGACACCAAGCCUCUGUAAAGCUCCUUCGACGAGUCGAGUAGUUUGGGAAUGCUGCUCAAAAUGGGAGGUAAAUGCCUUCUAAAGCUAAAUAUUGGCCAGAGACCGAUAGCGCACAAGUAGAGUGAUCGAAAGAUGAAAAGCACUUUGAAAAGAGGGUUAAACAGCACGUGAAAUUGUUGAAAGGGAAGCGCUUGUGACCAGACUUGUGCCAGGUGGAUCAUCCAGCGUUCUCGCUGGUGCACUCUGCCUGGUUCAGGCCAGCAUCGGUUUUCUCAGUGGGAUAAAGGCUUUGGGAAUGUAGCUCCUCCGGGAGUGUUAUAGCCCAUUGCACAAUACCUCUGAGGGGACCGAGGUUCGCGCAUUGCAAGGAUGCUGGCGUAAUGGUCAUCAGCGGCCCGUCUUGAAACACGGACCAAGGAGUCAAGCAUUAGGGCGAGUGUUUGGGUGCAAAACCCGCACGCGUAAUGAAAGUGAACGUAGGUGAGAGCUUCGGCGCAUCAUCGACCGAUCCUGAUGUAUUCGGAUGGAUUUGAGUAAGAGCCUUACCGCUUGGACCCGAAAGAUGGUGAACUAUGCUUGUAUAGGGUGAAGCCAGAGGAAACUCUGGUGGAGGCUCGCAGCGGUUCUGACGUGCAAAUCGAUCGUCAAAUAUGAGCAUGGGGGCGAAAGACUAAUCGAACUUCAUAUUCCUU